rnacentral:rRNA from 1 species
GAGUUUGAUCAGUGGCUCAGGACGAACGCUGGCGGCGUGCUUAACACAUGCAAGUCGAACGGUAAGGCCCUUCGGGGUACACGAGUGGCGAACGGGUGAGUAACACGUGGGUGAUCUGCCCUGCACUUCGGGAUAAGCCUGGGAAACUGGGUCUAAUACCGGAUAGGACCAUGGACUUCACGGUUUGUGGUGGAAAGCUUUUGCGGUGUGGGAUGGGCCCGCGGCCUAUCAGCUUGUUGGUGGGGUAAUGGCCUACCAAGGCGACGACGGGUAGCCGGCCUGAGAGGGUGUCCGGCCACACUGGGACUGAGAUACGGCCCAGACUCCUACGGGAGGCAGCAGUGGGGAAUAUUGCACAAUGGGCGCAAGCCUGAUGCAGCGACGCCGCGUGAGGGAUGACGGCCUUCGGGUUGUAAACCUCUUUCAAUAGGGACGAAGCGCAAGUGACGGUACCUAUAGAAGAAGCACCGGCCAACUACGUG